GGGCUUUUUUGAGAAAUAUUUCCUUCUCUUGCUCUCCAUUUUCUCCCUUUUUUAAUCUUUUCUUUUUGGAGUGGUUUGGGUUGGGGGUGCAGAGGACGUGACCUUGCUGGUGGAAGUGGACGCACUGUUGAUACAUGUAUAUAUUCAACCUGAAUGUGACAUUAUGAGCCGUUUGGACAACAUUAAAGUUGAUGUUGAAAUUGGAAAAACGCUUGUGGAUGCUGAAAUCUGAGUAGUUGUAGUUUUUGAAAAGAUUUUUUUGGAAAUGGAAGACUUGUAAGUGGACAUCUUAGAUUUGAAGAACUUCGCUUGAAAUACACUUUCAACCACAACUUUUCAAACUUGAACUAGAAAAUUUCUUUUUCCCAAAUAAAAAAUUCAAAUAAACACCAAAUUCAAAAAUAUUAUUUGCAAGUGAAUUUAAGAAGUCCACAAACAACAACAACAAACCCAUUUUGAUUCCAACAAGUGGGGUCUGGGGAGGAUAGUCUAUAUGUAGACCUUACAACAACAACAACAACAACUACCCAAUAUAGUCCCACAAAGUGGGGUCUGGGGAGGGUAAUAUGUAGACGAGCCUUACCCCUACCCGAAAGGGAAGAGAGGCUGUUUCCAGUCGACCCUCGGCUCAGUGAAGGAAGAAAGAAGCACACUAAAUAUAUAUGAUAAAGUUGAAUGCUAAUUUAAUGAUACCUAAUAAGCCUUGACCUUGACACCAAACUAAAUUGGCUGUAGCACUACCAUCAAUCUAUAAGACAUGAUUGAAUUCGAGAACAUGCAAACUGCCAGCUUAAUGGAAUCUGACAAACCGCAGUGUUGACUAGGCGAUGAUUUGGCAGUGACAUUGGCAAUAGGAAAACGUAGACCUGAUAUGUCAAUUAAUAUAUACUAUUAACUCGACAGGUUAGUUGAUGUAGAGUGAUAACUAGACAAAUAUGGAAUGCCGGUUUGAAACCUAAACUGGACUGAUACGUCAAACUGAGGCAGUAGAAACACGAGCCGCAAGCGCGGAGUUUGGAGACGAGAUUUUCACUGUUGUAUUCAUCUUGACAAGAAGAACCAGAAGUGAGUGGAUAUACGUAGACCUUACCCCUACCUAAUUCUGGUAGAGAGGUUGUCUCCAAUAG
rnacentral:lncRNA from 1 species